rnacentral:rRNA from 1 species
UACGUAGGGGGCAAGCGUUGUCCGGAAUUACUGGGCGUAAAGCGUGCGCAGGCGGUCAUGCAAGACAGAUGUGAAAUCCCCGGGCUCAACCUGGGAACUGCAUUUGUGACUGCAUGGCUGGAGUGCGGCAGAGGGGGAUGGAAUUCCGCGUGUAGCAGUGAAAUGCGUAGAUAUGCGGAGGAACACCGAUGGCGAAGGCAAUCCCCUGGGCCUGCACUGACGCUCAUGCACGAAAGCGUGGGGAGCAAACAGG